GAACUUGAGGCUCAGACUAUUGGAAAUCUCCUUCCUGCUGAAGAUGAUCUGUUUUCUGGAGUGACUGAUGAGUUGGGACAAAAUGCUCAUGUCAAUAGUGGGGAGGAUUUGGAAGACUUUGACCUGUUUAUCACUGGCGGAGGCAUGGAAUUGGAAGGGGAUGUGAGUGUUGGUCAAAGAAAUUCUGAUUUUGUUGAGGGAGUUACCAAUGGUCAAGGGGGUUCUAACGGUUCAAUUUUUGGUGAACAUCCUUAUGGUGAACACCCUUCUAGAACACUAUUUGUCAG
rnacentral:misc_RNA from 1 species